rnacentral:rRNA from 1 species
CCCUUAGAUGUUCUGGGCUGCACGCGUGCUACACUGAUAUUGCCAAUAUGUCAUUCUUAUCCGAAAUGGAUUGGGUAAUCAAGGAAUGAAAUUUCAUGCUUGGAGUCGGUAAUUGCAAUUUUAUCGUGAACGAGGAAUUCCUAGUAAGCACUAGUCAUCAGCUAAUGUUGAUUAUGUCCCUGCCCUUUGUACACACCGCCCGUCGCUACUACUGAUUGGGUGUUCAAGUGAGAUGCUUAGACCCUUGUUGCAUGGUUCAUUAUUGUGCUCCGAAAGGAAAAAGUUUCAAGCUUGAGUGUCUAGAGGAAGUAAAAGUCGUAACA